AUUAGUGGCGAACGGGUGAGGAACACGUGAGAAACCUGCCUCGGAUUUUGGGAUAACAGUUGGAAACGACUGCUAAUACCGAAUGACGUCGGAGAACCGCAUGGUUCACUGACGAAAGGAAUUCCGAUUCGAGAGGGUCUCGCGGCCUAUCAGCUAGUUGGCGGGGUAAUGGCCCACCAAGGCAACGACGGGUAGCUGGUCUGAGAGGAUGGUCAGCCACACUGGGACUGAGACACGGCCCAGACUCC
rnacentral:rRNA from 1 species